ensembl:lncRNA
AAGUGUGACGUCACAGACCACGCCCAUGUCAAAAUACGUCACAUUCUCAAUCAUUUUGAAACAGGAAGAAGCAUCGAUAAGAAGAUAAUUUGUAUUGUUUGCCAACCGCUAAAAAAAGAAGCUGUUGUUUGCCGUGUCGCAUUCUACACAUUUUCAGUCCAAGCCUGAUGCAGAGCAGUUCUCCCGGGUUAAGGGGUCCCUGCUGCAGUUUCACCAGUAAAGAAAAUUACUUUUUACAGUUCACUUGAAGGACCACAUAAGCCAUGCAGUGAUGCAUCGAGGUAUGGAGCGCCAAGAGGACAUAAAGUGGAAGUUUGUAAGGGACAUUGGUCCAGCGUGGUACAGAGUCAUCGUGGGUUAUUCUGUGGGGAGGUGACAGGGCCUGCCGUUCUCCAGAUGGACAGUAAAAAUCAACAGAAUGCCAUCAAAGACUACCUGGAGGGAGAAUCGGAGGAUAUAUUGAAGCAAGGAAUCUCUCUGUGUAGUCUAUGUAUGUAUGUGUGUGUACUGCAUGUCAAGAACUGUUUAUCUGAUCAUUCAGCUGUUCAUUCAGCUGCUCAGACUUUAUAAUAUUUGGAGCAUACCUUUUGUUAAACAACCAGUCAAAAGUUUUUGAACAGUGAGAUUUUUUUAUGUUUUUAAAGAAAUAUCUUCUGCUCAUCAAGCCUGCAUUUAUUUAAUCCGAAGUACAGC